UACGUAGGGGGCAAGCGUUGUCCGGAUUUAUUGGGCGUAAAGAGCGUGUAGGCGGCCAUACAGGUCAGCUGUGAAAACUCGAGGCUCAACCUCGAGACGUCGGUUGAAACCGUAUGGCUAGAGUCCGGAAGAGGAGAGUGGAAUUCCCGGUGUAGCGGUGAAAUGCGCAGAUAUCGGGAAGAACACCGGUGGCGAAGGCGGCUCUCUGGACCACAACUGACGCUGAGGCGCGAAAGCGUGGGGAGCAAACAGG
rnacentral:rRNA from 1 species